UACGAAGGGGGGCUAGCGUUGUUCGGAUUUACUGGGCGUAAAGCGCACGUAGGCGGGUCGUUAAGUCAGGGGUGAAAUCCCGGAGCUCAACUCCGGAACUGCCUUUGAUACUGGCGACCUUGAGGCUGGAAGAGGUUAGUGGAAUUCCCAGUGUAGAGGUGAAAUUCGUAGAUAUUGGGGAAGAACACCAGUGGCGAAGGCGGCUAACUGGUCCAGAUCUGACGCUGAGGUGCGAAAGCGUGGGGAGCAAACAGG
rnacentral:rRNA from 1 species